rnacentral:lncRNA from 1 species
CCUGCAUCCUCAUGGAUACUAGUCAGGUUCAUUUCUGCUGAGCCACAACCGUGGCUGAAACUUACUUAUACAUCUCACUGUGAUGGCAAAAGAACUCCAGGCUUAAGACUGGUUGGCAUUCAAUGUAAAUUUGAUCAAGUGCUUAUGACUUCUAUGCCACCUGCUUGUUCCCUACAUACUUCACUAUAAUAUUUCUGGGACACCCUUUACAUUAGAAAAAAAAAAGAUUUGAAUUACGAUUUUUUUUUUCCAGACAUAGCAUUAUGGAAUGAGUCCUAAUUGGUACCAGCUGGAUUGCCCCUUCCCACCACGGGAGGGCUCUUUAAAAUGAUGAGGAAAGCAUUCGAAUUUUUUUUUCAUCAGUGAAAAUCAAACAUGUUUGAGAUAUAGGCUGGCAUUCUAGAAUGUCAUCUCCGUUGGCACGGUGGAAGACUCACAGCUUCGGUCUUGGAGGUCAAGAGAGACAUCAUCUAGAAUGCGUUGCUUUGUCUACAUGAGUCGGGAAGACUGGAGAUAAGAGUGGGAUAGACAUGCAGCCUUGUUUCUGUCGAGCACCAGAAGCCUGCAUCAGGUCCGCUGGACAUCUCCCUUUGGAUGUCUCGUCGAGAGAUUAUUAGUACAACAGGAGACGAGGGGCUAAAGGUAAGGCAGACCCUAUGUAUUUUUCUCCUCGUCUCUGCUUCUCAGACUUGUCCUUUUGGAGAGCAGUGAUAAAGCAGAUGGAUUUAGUUUUUAUGUCAGUCAUCAUCAGCUGGGUGGAAGUUUUUGUGUGAAAGAAAAGGCUAGCAUUAAAUUGAUUGAUGGUUCAUUUUUCCUGUUUGCUCCUUGGUCAUUGGAGUGACACCAGGAGGGCUGUCUCGUUAGAGGAGUGUGAGACAAUGGCUCUGACACACAUAGAAUUCAUCGCUUGUAAUUGAUCCCUGGAAAUAGCAUAGUCACACAUCGUCCCCAAUAAAUUUGCCUGCUGAACUACUUGGGACA